AUUGAACGCUGGCGGCAGGCCUAACACAUGCAAGUCGAACGGCAGCACAGAAGAGCUUGCUCUUUGGGUGGCGAGUGGCGGACGGGUGAGUAAUGUCUGGGAAACUGCCCGAUGGAGGGGGAUAACUACUGGAAACGGUAGCUAAUACCGCAUAACGUCGCAAGACCAAAGUGGGGGACCUUCGGGCCUCACACCAUCGGAUGUGCCCAGAUGGGAUUAGCUAGUAGGUGGGGUAAUGGCUCACCUAGGCGACGAUCCCUAGCUGGUCUGAGAGGGUGGCGAGCCACACUGGAACUGAGACACGGUCCAGACUCCUACGGGAGGCAGCAGUGGGGAAUAUUGCACAAUGGGCGCAAGCCUGAUGCAGCCAUGCCGCGUGUAUGAAGAAGGCCUUCGGGGUGUAAAGUACUUUCAGCGGGGAGGAAGGCGGUGAGGUUAAUAACCUUGCCGAUUGACGUUACCCGCAGAAGAAGCACCGGCUAACUCCGUGCCAGCCGCCGCCGUAA
rnacentral:rRNA from 1 species